GCUUCACUACUGGUGGCAGUCAGACAAGUUUCAACUGCUAAAGAAUUCUCAGAGUACUGGUAACUAUAAUGCUUAGGAAUCUACAGGUUAUUGCAAGAAAAGAAUGCAAAAUAGCAGCAGCAUUGAAAUAAAAGAAAUGCAUCUCAACCAAAGAUCUGCCUCACAGCAUAGAUCAGGAGAAGCCAAGAACUAGCUCUUACUGUCCUCCAUCUGCAGGACCACAGCGGACACACUUUUUCUCUCAAAUCAGAACCACCAAGAUAGGCACAGAACACCCUGGAACCAGGGAACCUAGUGUAGGCACAUUCUUGUGAAGUAACCGGCCCCAGUGGCAGAGCCCUCUGGAAGUCUCACUUAGACCAGGUGUAAACCAUCAUCUCACUGUUAUCAAUAAACGAUGCUCACAAGCUGGUACAAACUACCAGACACUGCCCUUUGGCCCCUCGGUUGAAAAGCAACACUAUUAAUCAGUACAACUCACACCUUGACUAGGAGUCAAUACUGUCUUGGCACAUCUCUCACUUCAGCAAAACAGCUCAGACCAAUUCCAGGCACGCUGGGAUCAACCCUCAGACCAUAGCUUUUCUUAAAUAAAACUGUGCAACGAAAACACUGACUGAAACUCUGGAUACACGUGCAUGGCUUACCUCUGACUCUUGGUGAACAAGCAUUUUCAUCGGGGAACACCAAACGGAAAUUUUGGAAACUUCAUUAUCCGAGGCAACUCAGACUCUCUAGGAAAGGUUAUGAUCCGCGAGAAGCCGGAAGUCAGAUAACUACCCAUCGGGAAACCUCUCGCGGGACAGCAAGGCCUGCCGCGAGAUGUCGUCGGCCGCCGCUCUGCGCUCGUCCUGCUGGAAACCUGGCCGCGGGAACUCACAGCCCUGUCGUUUUCGUGCGCUUUCCGUCCUACAUCUGGAAUGGAGUGACUGCUGUGGCAAUUCCUGGAGAAGAUUUUUUAAUUGUUGCUUUUGACAGUUUGGUGAAGGAUUUUCAAUUCACAUCUGGCCCCAAAUGUUAUAAAUUAACAGACAAAACAAACAUUGGAUGCGGCGGUUUUCAUGGAGCCUGAGGCUGACAAGCGUUAUUGAAGCAAGACUAAAGAUGUAUACGCAUUCCAGUAUUAAGGCGUGACUAAGGGGGCUGUUGCUGUGAUGCCGUCUACAAUCCUCUCUCCGAGGUGCUUCUUUCCAUACUGUUUGCAACAUCUUCAGGGUGAAGAAGUAAAGGGAGUCAUGUACAGCUUGGACGGUGUCAGGGUAGGGUGUCUGUUGGUUCACGGUCCUGGGAUUUCCCAGGUGAAAUUCAAAACUGGCCUGUGUCCAUGGAGAGCAAGGAGAGACUGAAGACGGAGGCAGACCACUCCAAAUUGAAAGCACCUGCAGAUCUUCAUGACUGUCCCUGUUGUCAAAGAUAGCAUUAUUGGGAGUAAGGAAAUUGUGCAGUCAUCAGCAAAUAGUGAGUUUCUAUUUAUAGAAGUGGCCAAGAAAAAGCUGGCUGUCUGAGAUGUUGGAGAGAGACAGUUUGCAGCCCCUGAGAGGUCGGAAUAGAGGAACCCUAAGGUAUCGAUCAGGAAGGCAACCAAACAGUGGUUAUGGGCCAGCAAAGACUGGAGAAUCCUCUCACAGAAUGAAUGCACAAGGCAGCACAAGGCAAUUCACAGAAAAUAAGACUCUUCUGAACCCUGUGGUGCUUACAAAUGGCCUACUAUGCCCUGUUAAAGGCGAGUGCACCCCCUUGCUUGAAGAUGAUAUAGAAGCCUCUGACCUGCAAGAAAGCAUGCCCCUUCCUCAGGAUCUACCCUCACUACACCUAUGGACCAGCAGGCCUAUGAGUACCAUUGAGCUACAACAGAACCUGACCAGGGAAGUACUGGGCCCACUAAGAGGAAAGGGAGUAUAGCUAAAAGGAGAUUCAACAUGUAGCCAUCUUAUACUGGCAAGAUCCUCGGGCGCGUACCUAGUUUGGAUAAACAGGGGAAGAACUUAAAGGUGAAUAACAGAGAGCUUAUAUAUAUGAGACUCAUGACACAAGAUUUAUCAUCUUAGAAAUAAUUCCAGAAUAUGAUAGUCAUAUCCUGUUAGGGUGGCUCUUGGAAAUUGGAGAAAGUGAUGGCUAACCAUAAAUAAACAGAAAUGCCAGAACUUUUGUGGAAGAAGAGAUUAAAAUUCACAGAGAAAUGAACAUGCUUGAGUAGAUAUGCUACCUAAGGUCAAAAAACUCAUCAACUGUCUAAGUUUUAUAGGGGGCUCAAAAGACACUUUCUUUUUUAACCAAAGCGAUAAGGAAUGUUCUAGGGAAAGGGGAACCACCAUGGCUGAGAAGCUCAGAGGUGACUCAUUGGUGUAGGACACAAUAGGAGAUGCUGUUUCAGAUCAGGGAUCCCUGACAGCAAUGUGAAUUAUAGGAACGCUAAGUAAUGUAAGCCAGAUGGCAGUGAUUAAAUGAGUAUGAAAGUCAAAGUGGCAACCAAAGGAACAUGACCUCUUGAGAGUUAAGGAGAUGGUUAAUAGACCACUAUGUCCCUAGGCGGAAACUAAUGGGCUAUCAAUAAAGAAACUGCUCAAUCUAAACAUUCAGACAAAUUAAGGAUAGCUAGGAUGUUGAAGGCAGCUACCCCUGCAAAAAUCAGUCUCUUGCUCAGUUUUAUGAGUUGAGUCAGUUUUAAACUUGAAACCCACAACCACAGGAAAGACUGAGUCUCCAUGAGGAAGAUAUCUACAACCCCAUGGCAAGUGAAUAGAAUAAUGAUUUCCCCAUUCUUUCUCCAAAAGGAACCUAUAGUCACUAAUUCAGAUACAGUGGACAAAAUUGAAUAUCCAACAUUUCAAGGAUUAUUGAACAUAGGAUCACACUAUAGGAUCACAUUGAUUCAUUAUAUUGAGGACAACAUGUUAAUCAAACCAGAUGAGCAAGAAGUGGUACCCUAUACCAGAAGAAGUGCUAUCUAAAAAGAGGGACUCUCAAAUCAGACUGGCCUGGAGACGCUUCUGGAAGUAAUAUCACGAUGGCUGCCGAAGGAGAACCCUAAGUCCAGUUUAAACUUGUAUUGGUUGGUGAUGGUGGUACUGGAAAAACUACAUUUAUGAAAAGUUACCUGAUGGGUGAAUUUGAGAAGAAGUAUGUAGCUACCCUGAGUGUUGAGGUCUAUCCCCUUAUGUUCCAUACCAACAGAGGACCUAUUAAGUUCGAU
rnacentral:lncRNA from 1 species